UACAGAGGAGCCAAGCGUUGUCCGGAUUGACUGGACGUAAAGCGCACGCAGGCGGACGCGCGCGUGGGGUGUGAAAUCUGGCCGCUUAACGGCCAGGCGCCAUCCCAUACGGCGCGACUGGAGUGAUGCAGAGGUCGAUGGAAUUGCCGGUGUAGUGGUGAAAUGCGUAGAGAUCGGCAGGAACACCCAGGGGGAAACCAGUCGACUGGGCAUCUACUGACGCUGAGGUGCGAGAGCGUGGGGAGCGAACCGG
rnacentral:rRNA from 1 species